GACAGAGGGUGCAAACGUUGUUCGGAAUUACUGGGCGUAAAGCGCGCGUAGGCGGUUAUUUAAGUUGGAUGUGAAAGCCCUCGGCUUAACUGAGGAAGUGCAUCCAAAACUGAAUAGCUAGAGUACGAAAGAGGGUCGCGGAAUUCCCGGUGUAGAGGUGAAAUUCGUAGAUAUCGGGAGGAACACCGGUGGCGAAGGCGGCGACCUGGGUCGAGACUGACGCUGAGGCGCGAAAGCGUGGGGAGCAAACAGG
rnacentral:rRNA from 1 species